GUUUCAGUGUCUGCUGGUAGAAUCAGCCGAAGGUAGCAAAAUGGUUAAAACAAGCCAACAGGCAGGAAAAGUGUCUGUGGAAAAGGUUCUGCUUCUUCACCGACAAACCACCAGUGACCAUAUCAGAAUUAAUCCUCCAGACUGUCAGUCAUUCCAGACGAACUGUCAAUCAGGUAACCACGCCCCCUUGCGUCGCAAAACUUAAUAAAUAAAAAAAUCGAUAUUGAUUUAUUUUAAGAUCGGCCACUUCAUCUUUCAUUUUGAUCAUGAAAACAAACAACAAAAAAAAACAUUUAUUUACAGUCUAUGCACCGUACUCUGUUUGGCUCCACCCUUGCAGAUGACCACUUCCGGUCUCAGAAAACGAUAAAACGGACCUUUUUUCGUUUCUGUCUCUUACUUAUUUUAUUUUUUGUUAUCGUAAAUAAAAAAUGAAAAUCAAAGCAUUUUUUAAAAUUCGUAUAUCCCUUUUUGAUCGUGAAAAGGAAAAACGCCUUGUAUUUCAAUUUUGAUUUUUGCCUUUGAAAACGAAAAUCAAAUAACCACUCGUUUUUUGUUUUUCAAUACCUGCUUUAGAACGGAAAAUCCAAUUACCAAAAUAUACACGGACCGUUCAGCGUGCCGUGGGUGCUUCUGUGACGACAGGUUUAUUUGCUGCUGCUGUCGUUGGAUCUCCUCCUCCUGCAUUGCUUCUACGCUGCGCCACAGCUAACCGGGUUGCAGCUAAACGUGUGGUUCAUUGGACGUCAUCGUUCCCUGGAUUGGCUGCUGUUUCGGCUGUUUCGGUUCUUUCUUUCUUUUCGCCGGCUCUUGGUUGCGGCUCUUGUUCUCGGUCUGUUUGCCGGCUCUGUGAUUGGUGCCGACAACUUGCUGUGUUUGACUGUGUUGGUUUGGUGAGCCUCGGCGGCAGUUUAAUCCCUGGUGGUGGUUCACGGAUCCCCUUUUUGUUGGUGUGUUGUCACAGGUGUGAUUAUUUGGACCCCCUUUUUCUUUUUGGUUAUUUGUUUGCCUGCCGCCAUGGUAAGCCAGCCUGCUCCCUUUAUUGUUUAAGUUUAGUACUCCUGAUUCUCUCUUUUAAACUGGUGGCUUGCUUUUUAUAUUUAAUGCCAUAAUUAAUCAAGAAAUUGUUGUAUUUUUGGAAACACGUCUCAGCCCAAGUGAUUAUGAACCUGUGUGCCUUCAGUGUUUAAAUGGUCCUUGGUUGAUCAUGUUGAAUUGAAUGUCCCGGGGGUGAAAUUCCCCUGGGUGGCGUUGUCGCAAUAUUUAUGUGAAUCCUAGCCAUUUCUCCCCAUUCUCCAUGCCCCUUCCCUUAGAGCUCCCCCUCGCCACGCCACAUUCGCACUUUGUUUGUUUUGCCCAGGGGUGACCGGUAGACAUGUUUUCGUGUUUUGCUUUAAUGGGUUUAGUUGGGGUUAUUUUUCCUUAGUUUGGACGUGGAAACCGCUCCUACGACUGCGUAGCAGUUGGCCGGGGACCACGUCCUUUUGUUAUGUUUGGCUGGCGCUCCUGGGCCAACUUUUGUUUGAACUUUGAGUUUUCUUUUUGUUUUGGGGCACGGGUGGUUAAGGGAUCUUUUGUUCUUUCGUUUCUGAUAGUUGAAGUUAUUUAAUUUGUUAACAAACCAUCUCUUUUCACAACGAAGAAGCAGUUUAAACCUAAUAAUAAAGUUCUUUAUUUGAUCCCUUA